ACCACACUUGUGAACUGAAGGUUGCCUGUAGUUAUGCCCUGCUGUCUGCUGGCCCUUCUUCUGGGCACUUUCUUGGGUGUCAGAGCUCAGACCAUCCAUCAAUGGCCACCCACCAGGGUGCAGCUGGCAGGCAGCCCGCUCUCUCUGGAGUGCACCGUGAAGGGGACGUCAAACCCCUCCCUGUACUGGUACCGGCAGGAGGCAGGGGGGAGCCUCCAGCUGCUCUUCUCCUCUUUUGGUGCUGACCAGAUAGAUCCUAAGGAGUUCCAGAACUUCAAAGCUUCCAGGCCCCAGGACGGCCAGUUUAUCCUGAGUUCUAAGAAGCUGCAGCUCAAUAACUCUGGCUUCUACCUCUGCGCCUGGAGUCUCACACUGAGCUGGGUGGGGCAGACAUCUGUGCAAAAACCCCACCCUCAGCACCCCCUCCAGAAGCCCUCACUCAGGGACUAGGCAGAGGGUGUUUGUCACUGGGUUUCUGACUGUCAGCCAACGCGAGGGCGACAGACUCAAGCCAGAGUCUCCAAAAGAACUUCACUGUGUUCUUGUUUCCUGUUUAAUCACCCAGUCGUGUCUGACUCUUUUGCGACCC